AGAUCUGGGAAAGUGCAAUACAUGUUCUGGUGUUUGAUGGAAAGAGUCACAUCCUGCUUGUAGAAUACAUUUGUACCUCAUUUAGGCUAUAAUGGCAAGUUGGAAUAAGAAACUUACUACAGCUGUUGGGAAGGGAGAUAUAGAAGCCUUAAAAUUAAGCCUACAGAAUGGUGCAGACAUUGAUUAUCAAGAUGU